rnacentral:rRNA from 1 species
GACGAACGCUGGCGGCGUGCUUAACACAUGCAAGUCGAACGGAAAGGCCCUUCGGGGUACUCGAGUGGCGAACGGGUGAGUAACACGUGGGUGAUCUGCCCUGCACUUUGGGAUAAGCCUGGGAAACUGGGUCUAAUACCGAAUAGGACCACGCGCUUCAUGGUGUGUGGUGGAAAGCUUUAGCGGUGUGGGAUGGGCCCGCGGCCUAUCAGCUUGUUGGUGGGGUAAUGGCCUACCAAGGCGACGACGGGUAGCCGGCCUGAGAGGGUGACCGGCCACACUGGGACUGAGAUACGGCCCAGACUCCUACGGGAGGCAGCAGUGGGGAAUAUUGCACAAUGGGCGCAAGCCUGAUGCAGCGACGCCGCGUGAGGGAUGACGGCCUUCGGGUUGUAAACCUCUUUCAAUAGGGACGAAGCGUGAGUGACGGUACCUAUAGAAGAAGCACCGGCCAACUACGUGCCAGCAGCCGCCGUAAAAC